GUCUUCAUGGUGUAACGGUAGCACACUCGGCGCGUAUUCGAGAGGUCCAGGUUCGAGCCCCGGCGAGGGCU
rnacentral:tRNA from 1 species